CCAUCCUUUAAAGAAAGCGUAAUAGCUCACUGGUCUAGUGAUUCUGCGCGGAAAAUAUAACGGGGCUAAAAAUGAGUACCGAAGCUUUAGACUUAGUUUUACUAAGUGGUAGGAGAGCGUUGUAUUUGCGUUGAAGGUAUACCGGUAAGGAGUGCUGGAGCGAAUACAAGUGAGCAUGCAGGCAUGAGUAGCGAUAAUUGGGGUGAGAAUCCCCAACGCCGUAAACCCAAGGUUUCCUACGCGAUGCUCGUCAUCGUAGGGUUAGCCGGGUCCUAAGCAAAGUCCGAAAGGGGUAUGCGAUGGAAAAUUGGUUAAUAUUCCAAUGCCAACUAUAAUGUGCGAUGGAAGGACGCUUAGAGUUAGAGGAGCCAGCGGAUGGUAGUGCUGGUCGAAAGGUGCAGGUUGGAGUUCAGGCAAAUCCGAACUCCUUUAAGCCGAGGCCUUACAGGUGCGUGAAGUUCUUCGGAAUGAAUCGUAAAUCCUUGAUACUGUCGAGCCAAGAAAAGUUUCUAAGUUUAGUUAUAGUUGCCCGUACCGUAAACCGACACAGGUGGGUGGGAUGAGUAUUCUAAGGCGCGUGGAAGAACUCUCUUCAAGGAACUCUGCAAAAUAGCACCGUAUCUUCGGUAUAAGGUGUGCCUAACUUUGUGAAGGAUUUACUCCGUAAGCAUUGAAGGUUACAACAAAGAGUCCCUCCCGACUGUUUACCAAAAACACAGCACUCUGCUAACUCGUAAGAGGAUGUAUAGGGUGUGACGCCUGCCCGGUGCUCGAAGGUUAAUUGAUGACGUUAGCUCUGCGAAGCGUUUGAUCGAAGCCCGAGUAAACGGCGGCCG
rnacentral:rRNA from 1 species